rnacentral:rRNA from 1 species
UACGUAGGGUGCGAGCGUUAAUCGGAAUUACUGGGCGUAAAGCGUGCGCAGGCGGUUCGUUGUGUCGGCGGUGAAAUCCCCCGGGCUCAACCUGGGAAUGGCGAUGAAGACUGCAAGGCUAGAAUCUGGCAGAGGGGGGGGUAGAAUUCCGACGUGUAGCAGUGAAAUGCGUAGAGAUGUGGAGGAACACCGAUGGCGAAGGGCAGCCCCCUGGGUCAAGAUUGACGCUCAU